rnacentral:ncRNA from 1 species
CAGAGUAAGCUUGUGUGCGAAAUACUGCGGUGCAGUAUGAAGUGUUGUGUGUACGGGGAGUUGACACACGAACGAAUAGGUUUUCCUGCGAUACACGAGCUGCAUCCCGCUG